rnacentral:rRNA from 1 species
UACAGAGGUCUCAAGCGUUGUUCGGAUUCAUUGGGCGUAAAGGGUGCGUAGGUGGCGCCAUAAGUCAGGUGUGAAAUCUCGGGGCUUAACUCCGAAACUGCAUUUGAUACUGUGGUGCUUGAGGACUGGAGAGGAGACUGGAAUUCACGGUGUAGCAGUGAAAUGCGUAGAUAUCGUGAGGAACACCGGUGGCGAAGGCGGCUUCCUGGACCGACACUGACGCUGAGGCGCGAAAGCUAGGGGAGCAAACGGG